GGAAAUUCAUUUACAUUAUCUUUUUGGAAACCUUACUUCUAAUCCUUAAACAGCAGUGAAAUCCUUAUAAAAUAAAUAUUUUUACAUGCGAAGAAAUUCUAAUCCUGAUCAGCUUCGGUCUGAAAUUAUAUACAUGUUUCUAUAUUCUGGUAAUUUAUAUACAUCAUCUGCUUCAAAAUUUCAAUCGCUCUCUAUCACCAACAAUGGAGGGACCUUAUGACUUACCUGAAAAGUCCUCUGACAACAACAACAACGUCAGCAACAACAAUCAUUGCACUACUGUCUGUGGGAACGCGAGUAACAAUAACGCAAUUCCUGCCGAUGCGAAUACUGAAGGCAACAGUGAAGCGGUGCUUAUGCCAUUCCCUUAUAGUUAUCUAUAUGAGCAAGACAACGAUCACAACGGCAACGCAAUCAUUGUGAAUGCUGAUGUAGCGAACAACAAUAUUGGAGAAAAUUUCAUGCCAUUGCAUUAUGAUCAAUUUUUGUACAGCAACAUGGGGAACAAUAAUAAUAAUAAUAAUAAUAAUAAUUAUUAUAAUAAUAACAACAAUGCAAUGGUUGCAUAUGAGAAUGUAUCUGACAAUGGUAUUAAAGGAUAUUUCAGGGGAAUGCCUGUUGGUUAUCGAUUUAUGCCUAAUGAUGAAGAGUUAGUGAACUACUUGAAGCACAAGGUCGAGGGUUUUCCCUUACCUCUUGGCCUUGUUCAUGAUGUUGAUAUAUACAAGUUCCACCCUCAUGAACUCACUGGUUAGUUUUUUUUUUUUUUCUUUUUUACUUCUUCAUCAGAAAACUCACUGCUUAGUUAGUCUUGCAUGCAUGUCUGCCUUCAUGUUUAAAUUUAAUUAUACUUCUCCUCGUUUUAUUUAUACAUGGAAAGAUAUAAAGAAAAAAAAAAUCAGUUAUUACAUACAAGAUAUGAACUUAACAUGAAAAUUAUAUAAUUGAUUAUUUAACUUAAUUACGAUUAGGAAAGUAUGAGCUAAUAGGAGAAAGGGAAUGGUAUUUCUUCACUCCUAGAAAUAGAAUAUCCCCAGAUGGGAGUAGGCCAUCUCGAAAAGCAAGCAAUGGCUAUUGGAAGCCAACUGGAAGUGAGAAAGAGAUUCCAAAUGAGAAGAGCCCUGUAGGGGUUAGAAUGUCACUAGACUACUACGAAUUUUCGAACACGGAAAUUCAAAAGAGGAAGCAAUCUUCUGGUACGAGAACGGACUGGAAAAUGCAUGAGUAUAUUGUAAAGCAGUACAAAGACAAUGGCAAUGACUACAGAAAAAAGUUUCAUGCAUUGGCUCUUUGCAAGAUAUAUAAAAAGAAAGCAAAAAAUGAUGAAGAUGAACCAGCUGCGGGGACUUCAAGUUCUGUCCCAAAAAAUGCACCGAUCCAAUCACAAGAGCCUUCUAGCUAUGGAUUUCAACCCAUAAGUGGAUUUGAAGAACAAGCUUACUGGACACAGAUGAUGAUUACUGCAAAUAAUCUUUUGGUUCCACAGGGAACAACUUACGCAGAAUUGGUAAAUAAUAAAGUUACAAAUGUUCAACCUGUAUCUGCGCAGAUUGUGGAAGAUCAGAGAGAUAAUUCUUGUCCUGAUAGCCAGCGUCAGAAUGAUGACUCUUGUCCUGAUAAUGAGCAUCAGAAUGAUGAUAGUGGUCUAUACUGUAUCGUGCAUUCUUCUCGAAGUUGGAAUAAGAGAUUGGAAAAGAAUCCUAAUUAAGUUCAAGUUGUAGCACUCCUCUUGCAUCUCAAUGUUGCUGAUAGCUAGGAGGAUGUUGCUGAUACCUCAAUUUGCUAAUUUUUGAGUGAU